rnacentral:rRNA from 1 species
CCUACGGGGGGCAGCAGUGGGGGAUAUUGGACAAUGGGCGAAAGCCUGAUCCAGCCAUGCCGCGUGUGUGAAGAAGGCCUUCGGGUUGUAAAGCACUUUCAGUGGGGAAGAAAGCCUUGGGGCUAAUACCCUCGAGGAAGGACAUCACCCACAGAAGAAGCACCGGCUAACUCCGUGCCAGCAGCCGCGGUAAUACGGAGGGUGCGAGCGUUAAUCGGAAUUACUGGGCGUAAAGCGCGCGUAGGCGGUCUGAUAAGCCGGUUGUGAAAGCCCCGGGCUCAACCUGGGAACGGCAUCCGGAACUGUCAGGCUAGAGUGCAGGAGAGGAAGGUAGAAUUCCCGGUGUAGCGGUGAAAUGCGUAGAGAUCGGGAGGAAUACCAGUGGCGAAGGCGGCCUUCUGGACUGACACUGACGCUGAGGUGCGAAAGCGUGGGUAGCAAACAGGAUUAGAUACCCGGGUAGUC